GAUGAACGCUGGCGGCAUGCCUAAUACAUGCAAGUCGAGCGAAUGGAUUAAGAGCUUGCUCUUAUGAAGUUAGCGGCGGACGGGUGAGUAACACGUGGGUAACCUGCCCAUAAGACUGGGAUAACUCCGGGAAACGGGGCUAAUACCGGAUAACAUUUUGAACCGCAUGGUUCGAAAUUGAAAGGCGGCUUCGGCUGUCACUUAUGGAUGGACCCGCGUCGCAUUAGCUAGUUGGUGAGGUAACGGCUCACCAAGGCAACGAUGCGUAGCCGACCUGAGAGGGUGAUCGGCCACACUGGGACUGAGACACGGCCCAGACUCCUGCGGGAGGCGGCAGUAGGGAAUCUUCCGCAAUGGACGAAGGUCUGACGGAGCAACGCCGCGUGAGUGAUGAAGGCUUUCGGGUCGUAAAACUCUGUUGUUAGGGAAGAACAAGUGCUAGUUGAAUAAGCUGGCACCUUGACGGUACCUAACCAGAAAGCCACGGCUAACUACGUGCCAGCAGCCGCCGUAA
rnacentral:rRNA from 1 species